AACAAUUUCAUUACCGUAAGAAUACAAACAUUGUUUUCCUUGAUAGAAAUGAAAAUGUCCUCUAGCAGUAAAUCCGUGUCAAAAAUUCAUCCCAAAGAAAAAACAAAUUUUUUGUCACACCUUCUAUUUUUUUGGGAAAUACCUAUACUUCUCAAAGGAUACAAAAAGAAGUUGACUGAAAAUGAGGUUUUUAGCCCCCUUAAAACUGAUCAAUCUAAGUUUCUUGGGGACAAACUUAAUAAUGCAUUGAAGAAUCAAGUUGAAUCUUCACAAAGUGGAGUUUCGCUGUGGAAAGCUCUAAGACAAAUAUUUGGUAUAGAUUUUGCGUUUUAUGGUUUAAUGAUUGCAAUUUUAGAAUUGAUAAGGAUAUAUCAAAUCGUACUUUUUGCAAAGCUAUUACAAUACUAUACUCCAAAUAACAAAACUAUUACCAAAAGUCAGGCUUAUUUAGUUUCUUUAUAUCUGAUUUUGAUAGUACUGGUAAGAAUGCUUGGUUUACAUCUGUACUGGUUUGAAACGGAGCACUUGGGCUUAAAAGUUCAAGUAGCUUUAAGUUCGGUAAUCUACAGAAAAUGUUUAAAACUCAGCAACGAGACCCUUUCUGAAGUCACUCUCGGUCAGUCAGCCAAUUUACUAUCGAAUGAUGUUACCAGAUUUCACUGUGGUUUAAUCAGAUAUGUACAUUAUGUGUGGCUCAUAUUUUUACAAGUUGCGGUUAUUCUCUACUACUUGCAUAGUAGGUUGGGAGUUACAGCCAUAUACGGAAUAUCAGUUUUUCUGAUUUGUGUAUUCAUCCAAAUAUUUUUCUUUAAAAAAAUUACUAUUUACCGACUCAAGGCUUCAACGAAAACAGAUCAAAGGGUCAAGCUGAUGAACGAAAUCAUUCAAGGGAUCAAAGUCGUUAAAAUGUUUACUUGGGAAAGACUUUUUUCUAAACUCAUUGAAACUGUGCGAAGAAAUGAGUUACAACCGUUGAAAAGAAGCUUUAACCUUUAUGCCAUCGACUUGGCAUUUCAUUUUUUUAUUCACAAAUUUGCUAUAUUUGUUAGUAUAGCUGCUUACGUAAGUAGUGGCCACAAUUUAACUACCAACUACGUCUAUUUACUAAGCACAUUGUAUGAAAUUGUCAAAACAUCGAUCAUGUUUUUUUCAUGGGGUGCACUCGGAGGAGGAGAAAUGUUAAAUUCGAUAAAACGGAUUGAAAACUUUUUGAAGAAUGAAGAAGUGUGUGAAACAAAAAAUAGCAUUUCUAAUAAUAUCUCGAUAGACAAAAUAUACGUAAAACGGAACAAAUCACUCGGUGAUUAUACUUUAAGUGACGUAACAAUGCAAUUCACUUCAAACAAAUUAAUUGCAAUCGUGGGACCUGUUGGUAGUGGCAAGACUACUUUACUUUUAACUCUUUUAAAUGAACUACCGUUAGCCCAAGGAUCAGUUCAAACCGGUAAUUCUACAUCUUACGCUUCUCAAGAGCCUUGGCUGUUUGGUGGUUCCGUGCGAGACAAUAUCAUUUUUGGAGAAACUUUUGAUGAAACCAAGUAUCAAAAUGUGAUAAAAGUUUGUGCUUUGGAGCGAGACUUUUUCCUACUGCCUUACGGAGAUUUGACUUUUGUUGGUGACAAAGGCGCGAGACUAAGCGGUGGACAAAAAGCUAGAAUUAACUUAGCUAGAGCUGUAUACAAAAACGCUGAUUUUUAUCUCCUUGAUGAUCCUCUUUCUGCAGUGGAUGCUCAAGUAUCUAAAUAUUUGUUCCAAAAUUGUAUCAAAAAUUACUUAAAAGGUAAAUGCACAGUUUGGGUAACCCAUAACUUGGAGAAAUUGGACGAAGUAGACCAGAUUUUUAUAAUCGAAAAAGGAAAAAUUAUUAAAAGUGGUACCUUCAAUGAACUAAAAGAGUACCAUUAUUUUAAACCAAAUUCAAAAACAUCUUUAGAUGAAAUUAAAGAAAAGGAGCAAACUUUCGAAGGCAUGAAACGUUUGUCAGAAAUAAGUCUGGUGCAAGAAUUAGAAGAAACUUACGAAUCUGGAUCAGUAACAAACCAAAUUUAUUGCAAAUUUUUAAGUGCAGGUGGUUUCAUUUGUGCUACAGUUAUAAUAAUUUUGCUCAUUUUGCUUAUUUUUACAACAAGUGCGAUUGAUUACUUUCUGGCAUAUUGGGUAAACUAUCAAGAAACGCAAGACACUGCUCCUUUUUAUUUCUUAUACUUGUAUAUCGUUGCUGCAUUAUGCAUAAUUAUAUUUGCUCCCACAACGACAAUCAUCUUUGCUAGAUUUUGUUUGAACGCUGCUAAAAAUCUCCACACCGAAAUGUUUAACCGAAUAUUAUUUGCUCCAAUGAGUUUCUUCAAUGACAAUCCCUCUGGUCGUAUUUUGAACAGAUUUGCAUACGAUUUGGGUUUAAUUGAUAAAAACCUUACAGCAAGUCUUGUCGAUACGACAAUCGUUGUCACACAUUGCAUAUCUAUUAUCACAGUAAUAUGUUUCGUAAAUUAUUGGGUUUUAAUACCAACGCUUUUCAUGGCAAUAUUGUUCUACUAUUGCAGAAAUGUUUAUUUGUAUACCAGCCGCAAUUUGAAACGUCUUGAAGCCAAAUCUUGUGGUCCAAUUUUUUCUCAUUUAAUUUCCACUCUACAAGGACUACCAACUAUCAGAGCUUUCAAAGCUCAAAAGCUUCAGACAAGUACCUUUUUUACUUACCAAGAUACGUACACAUCCAGCAGUUACAUGUUUUUGGCUUGUUCUUCUGCAUUUGGGUUUUGGAUUGACUUUUGUUGUGUGAUUUACUUGGGAUUUGCUAUUUUUAGUCCCUUAUUCCUUGACUUAGAAGUUUUUGGUGGCAGUAUUGGAUUAGCAAUUAGUCAGUGUUUCAUUAUGAUUGGGAUGUUACAAUACGGUAUUAAACAGAAUGCAGAAUUGGAAAACAGUAUGGUUUCAGUGGAACGCGUGGUAGAAUAUUCCAAAAUCGAAAUUGAAAAAGAUUAUGAAAAAACACAUUUGGAAUUUAAACCUACAACAGGUUCUAUUGUCUUUCAAGAUGUUUCACUGCAAUAUAAUUGCAAACAUUCUAUGGUAUUAAAGGAAUUGUCAUUUACAAUAAAUCCAGGUGAAAAAAUUGGCAUUGUUGGAAGAACAGGAGCCGGAAAAUCAUCUCUAAUUUCAAUUUUCUUUCGAAUGUUCCAUUUUGAAGGAAACGUUUUUAUUGACGGGGUAAACAUUAAAGAAGUGUCACUUGAAAAUCUGCGAUCACAAAUUUCGAUAAUAACACAAGAACCAGUGCUUUUUUCCUACACUAUCCGAAAAAAUCUUGAUCCUUUUGAAGAGUACGAAGAUUCGCAAUUGUGGAAAGCGUUAGAUGAAGUUGAACUAAGACAAGCAGUUUCUGAACUCCCUUUUGGACUACAUAGCAAAGUUACGGAAGGAGGACUCAAUUUUAGUGUUGGGCAAAGGCAGCUUUUAUGUCUUGCAAGAGCGAUGUUAAAAAUGAAUAAAAUAUUGAUACUGGAUGAAGUCACAGCAAAUGUGGAUUUGAAAACUGAUGAGUUGAUUCAAAAAACUUUAGGAAAAAAAUUUAAGAACUGCACUGUGUUAACCAUAGCGCAUAGGUUGGAGACUGUUGUCGAUUGUGACAGAAUUU